CCUACGGGCGGCUGCAGUGGGGAAUAUUGCACAAUGGGCGCAAGCCUGAUGCAGCCAUGCCGCGUGUGUGAAGAAGGCCUUCGGGUUGUAAAGCACUUUCAGCGGGGAGGAAGGCGGUGAGGUUAAUAACCUCAUCGAUUGACGUUACCCGCAGAAGAAGCACCGGCUAACUCCGUGCCAGCAGCCGCGGUAAUACGGAGGGUGCAAGCGUUAAUCGGAAUUACUGGGCGUAAAGCGCACGCAGGCGGUCUGUCAAGUCGGAUGUGAAAUCCCCGGGCUCAACCUGGGAACUGCAUUCGAAACUGGCAGGCUAGAGGCUUGUAGAGGGGGGUAGAAUUCCAGGUGUAGCGGUGAAAUGCGUAGAGAUCUGGAGGAAUACCGGUGGCGAAGGCGGCCCCCUGGACAAAGACUGACGCUCAGGUGCGAAAGCGUGGGGAGCAAACAGGAUUAGAUACCCUAGUAGUC
rnacentral:rRNA from 1 species